AUGCUUUACACAUGCAAGUCGAACGAUGAACCUUAGCUUGCUAAGGGGAUUAGUGGCGAACGGGUGAGUAAUAUAUCGGAACGUACCUUGUAAUGGGGGAUAACUAGUCGAAAGAUUAGCUAAUACCGCAUACGCCCUGAGGGGGAAAGUAGGGGAUCUUCGGACCUUACGUUAUAAGAGCGGCCGAUAUCUGAUUAGCUAGUUGGUGGGGUAAUGGCCUACCAAGGCGACGAUCAGUAGCUGGUCUGAGAGGACGACCAGCCACACUGGAACUGAGACACGGUCCAGACUCCUACGGGAGGCAGCAGUGGGGAAUUUUGGACAAUGGGCGCAAGCCUGAUCCAGCCAUUCCGCGUGAGUGAAGAAGGCCUUCGGGUUGUAAAGCUCUUUCGCAAGGGAAGAAAACUUACACAAUAACACUGUGUGAGGCUGACGGUACCUUGAUAAGAAGCACCGGCUAACUACGUGCCAGCAGCCGCGGUAAUACGUAGGGUGCGAGCGUUAAUCGGAAUUACUGGGCGUAAAGCGUGCGCAGGCGGUUUUGUAAGUCAGAUGUGAAAUCCCCGAGCUCAACUUGGGAACUGCGUUUGAAACUACAAGACUAGAAUAUGUCAGAGGGGGGUAGAAUUCCACGUGUAGCAGUGAAAUGCGUAGAGAUGUGGAGGAAUACCAAUGGCGAAGGCAGCCCCCUGGGAUAAUAUUGACGCUCAUGCACGAAAGCGUGGGGAGCAAACAGGAUUAGAUACCCUGGUAGUCCACGCCCUAAACGAUGUCUACUAGUUGUUGGUGGAGUAAAAUCCAUGAGUAACGCAGCUAACGCGUGAAGUAGACCGCCUGGG
rnacentral:rRNA from 1 species